UACGUAGGGGGCAAGCGUUGUCCGGAUUCAUGGGGCGUAAAGAGCGUGUAGGCGGCCAGGUAGGUCGGUUGUGAAAACUGGAGGCUCAACCUUCAGACGUCGACCGAAACCAUCUGGCUAGAGUCCGGGAGAGGAGAGUGGAAUUCCUGGUGUAGCGGUGAAAUGCGCAGAUAUCAGGAAGAACACCCGUGGCGAAAGCGGCUCUCUGGAACGGUACUGACGCUGAGACGCGAAAGCGUGGGGAGCGAACAGG
rnacentral:rRNA from 1 species